GAUGAACGCUGGCGGCGUGCCUAAUACAUGCAAGUCGAGCGAACAGACGAGGAGCUUGCUCCUUUGACGUUAGCGGCGGACGGGUGAGUAACACGUGGGUAACCUACCUAUAAGACUGGGAUAACUUCGGGAAACCGGAGCUAAUACCGGAUAAUAUUUCGAACCGCAUGGUUCGAUAGUGAAAGAUGGCUUUGCUAUCACUUAUAGAUGGACCUGCGCCGUAUUAGCUAGUUGGUAAGGUAACGGCUUACCAAGGCAACGAUACGUAGCCGACCUGAGAGGGUGAUCGGCCACACUGGAACUGAGACACGGUCCAGACUCCUACGGGAGGCAGCAGUAGGGAAUCUUCCGCAAUGGGCGAAAGCCUGACGGAGCAACGCCGCGUGAGUGAUGAAGGUCUUCGGAUCGUAAAACUCCGUUAUUAGGGAAGAACAAACGUGUAAGUAACUGUGCACGUCUUGACGGUACCUAAUCAGAAAGCCACGGCUAACUACGUG
rnacentral:rRNA from 1 species